AGUCGAACGAGAGAAGAGAAGCUUGCUUUUCUGAUCUAGUGGCGGACGGGUGAGUAACACGUGAGCAAUCUGCCUUUCAGAGGGGGACACCGAUUGGAAACGAUCGUUAAUACCGCAUAAUAUAAUUGAACCGCAUGAUUUGAUUAUCAAAGAUUUAUCGCUGAAAGAUGAGCUCGCGUCUGAUUAGCUAGUUGGUAAGGUAACGGCUUACCAAGGCGACGAUCAGUAGCCGGACUGAGAGGUUGAUCGGCCACAUUGGGACUGAGACACGGCCCAGACUCCUACGGGAGGCAGCAGUGGGGAAUAUUGCACAAUGGAGGAAACUCUGAUGCAGCGAUGCCGCGUGAGGGAAGAAGGUUUUAGGAUUGUAAACCUCUGUCUUCAGGGACGAAAAAAGACGGUACCUGAGGAGGAAGCUCCGGCUAACUACGUGCCAGCAGCCGCGG
rnacentral:rRNA from 1 species